rnacentral:rRNA from 1 species
AUGAACGCUGGCGGCGUGCCUAAUACCUGCCAGUCGAGCGAACAGACGAGGAGCUUGCUCCUCUGACGUUAGCGGCGGACGGGUGAGUAACACGUUGAUAACCUACCUAUAAGACUGGGAUAACUUCCGGAAACCGGAGCUAAUACCGGAUAAUAUAUUGAACCGCAUGGUUCAAUAGUGAAAGACGGUCUUGCUGGCACUUAUAGAUGGAUCCGCGCCGCAUUAGCUAGUUGGUAAGGUAACGGCUUACCAAGGCAACGAUGCGUAGCCGACCUGAGAGGGUGAUCGGCCACACUGGAACUGAGACACGGUCCAGACUCCUACGGGAGGCAGCAGUAGGGAAUCUUCCGCAAUGGGCGAAAGCCUGACGGAGCAACGCCGCGUGAGUGAUGAAGGUCUUCGGAUCGUAAAACUCUGUUAUUAGGGAAGAACAAAUGUGUAAGUAACUAUGCACGUCUUGACGGUACCUAAUCAGAAAGCCACGGCUAACUACGUG